CAGGAAAGGAAAGUGAUGAAAAAUCAUUCUGCCCUGAAAAGGGGGAGAUGACAGGAGAUGAGAAUAGAUUGCCGAACACACCUUUACUGGUCUCAACACUUCUAACCAUCAAUUGAUCAGAUUCCCUUUGAAUGCCCUUCUCUAUCGAAGUGGCAUGUGGCGUGUGGCGUGUGGUGUGUUGUGUGUGGCUUCUCUCUGCAUCCAACUUACAUCCUUUCACCUAAUCUCGAAACUUGACUUUUCCUCUAUAAAUACCAAGCUAGAGUGAAUAACAUCAUCUCAUCAUCCAAACUCGCAAAACACGCCUCUAAAACCAUAACUAGCAGCUUUUAAUUUUUAAUUCUCAAUCAACGAUGGCAGACAAGUGUGGAAACUGCGACUGUGCUGACCGCAGCCAGUGCACAAAGAAAGGAAACCAAUAUGGAGUUGAGAUCAUUGAGACAGAGUAUCCAGAGUUCGCGAUGAUGGAUGGUGCAGAGAAUGACUGCAAGUGCAAGUGCGGCAGCAGCUGCAGCUGUGCUGACUGCCACUGCCACUGACCACCUGGAAGUAACCUAUACUCAAAUGAUCACCUUAGGGUUCAUUUUGAGCUACAUAGGAAAUAGUAGUCAAAUACGAAAUAUGUUCCUACCGAGAAUAAAAUGUCACACUUCAUUAUCUUCACCUGAGGAGUAUGUUUGAAGUGUCCUAUAUGCGUUCUUUCUUAAAUUACAGUCUUGUAAUGGUUCUAUGUGCCUAGUUGUAGUUAUACUGCUAUAUCAUAUGGGCUUUUAGUACUAUUAACAUAA